CCUAUGGGGGGCUGCAGUGGGGAAUAUUGGACAAUGGGAGGAACCCUGAUCCAGCCAUGCCGCGUGUGUGAAGAAGGCCCUCGGGUUGUAAAGCACUUUCAGUGAGGAAGAACGCCUGGUGGUUAAUACCCAUCAGGAAAGACAUCACUCACAGAAGAAGCACCGGCUAACUCCGUGCCAGCAGCCGCGGUAAUACGGAGGGUGCGAGCGUUAAUCGGAAUUACUGGGCGUAAAGCGCGCGUAGGUGGCUUGAUAAGCCGGUUGUGAAAGCCCCGGGCUCAACCUGGGAACGGCAUCCGGAACUGUCAAGCUAGAGUGCAGGAGAGGAAGGUAGAAUUCCCGGUGUAGCGGUGAAAUGCGUAGAGAUCGGGAGGAAUACCAGUGGCGAAGGCGGCCUUCUGGACUGACACUGACACUGAGGUGCGAAAGCGUGGGUAGCAAACAGGAUUAGAUACCCGAGUAGUC
rnacentral:rRNA from 1 species